GACGAACGCUGGCGGCGUGCUUAACACAUGCAAGUCGAGCGGUAAGGCCCUUUCGGGGUACACGAGCGGCGAACGGGUGAGUAACACGUGGGUGACCUGCCCUCAGCUCUGGGAGUAAGCCUGGGAAACCGGGUCUAAUACUGGAUAUGACUCCAUGACGCAUGUUGUGGGGUGAAAGCCUUGUGCGGCUGAGGAUGGGCCCGCGGCCUAUCAGCUUGUUGGUGGGUGANGGCCUACCAAGGCGACGACGGGUAGCCGGCCUGAGAGGGCGACCGGCCACACUGGGACUGAGACACGG
rnacentral:rRNA from 1 species